UACGAAGGGUGCAAACGUUGCUCGGAAUCAUUGGGCGUAAAGCGCACGUAGGCGGCCUCGCAAGUUGGAUGUGAAAUCCCAUGGCUCAACCAUGGACGUGCAUCCAAAACUGCUUGGCUUGAGUACUGAAGAGGAUCGCGGAAUUCCCGGUGUAGAGGUGAAAUUCGUAGAUAUCGGGAAGAACACCAGUGGCGAAGGCGGCGAUCUGGGCAGAUACUGACGCUGAGGUGCGAAAGCGUGGGGAGCAAACAGG
rnacentral:rRNA from 1 species